GACGAACGCUGGCGGCGUGCUUAACACAUGCAAGUCGAGCGGUAAGGCCCUUUUGGGGGUACACGAGCGGCGAACGGGUGAGUAACACGUGGGUGACCUGCCCUCAGCUCUGGGAUAAGCCUGGGAAACUGGGUCUAAUACUGGAUAUGACCUUUCCUCGCAUGGGGUUGGGUGGAAAGUUUUUUCGGCUGGGGAUGGGCCCGCGGCCUAUCAGCUUGUUGGUGGGGUGAUGGCCUACCAAGGCGACGACGGGUAGCCGGCCUGAGAGGGCGACCGGCCACACUGGGACUGAGACACGGCCCAGACUCCUACGGGAGGCAGCAGUGGGGAAUAUUGCGCAAUGGGCGGAAGCCUGACGCAGCGACG
rnacentral:rRNA from 1 species